rnacentral:tRNA from 1 species
UUUGUAGCUCAGUCGGUAGAGCAGAGGACUGAAAAUCCUCGUGUCGUUGGUUCGAUUCCGACCGA